GACGCGGUGGCCUAAUGGUUAGCGCCCUGGACUCGGGAUCGAGCGGUCCGGGUUCGAUCCCUGGGCGGGGUGACUGUGUUG
rnacentral:tRNA from 1 species